GUUUUGACAUUGAUGAGAAGAGUAGCUUAUGUGAAAUUAGUUAAAGAGAAUCUGGCUGGUGAGAAAGGAUACUAAUUGAUUAAGUGAAGAUGAGCUCGGAGUUUCUAAAUUGUUCACGCAAUUUAGACGGGAAUGACCGUUAUAUCAUCGGGUUUCAAAUGGAACUUAUGGAGGCAUUGUCUGUAAGGAUAAUGCGAAUUAGGGUGGUAACACGAUUUUUCAGUCGUCCCUUUG
rnacentral:ncRNA from 1 species